AACAUCGAGCAUGCAUCAAACUUCUGAAAGAAAAAUAGCAUCAAGGGUGCAAAUUUAGCAAUUUUCAAUUUUUUUUUAAACCCUAAUGUUUUAUACAACAUGCAAACUCUUUAUGCUAUUACAAAAACACAUAUGUUAGGUUAUAACACUUUUAAGUCAAUUACUAAAAAGCUUAUAUGCCAUUGGAAAACUUAAACCUUAAACUUAUUAAGAUAAAAUUAAGGACUUUACCCAUAUAGGCGCAUAAUCAUAUUCAACACCAAGUCCGGGAAGAUUAGAUCGCCAAAAGUCGAUUAUCGAGUCUAUCCACACGAACAAGAUGACCAAAGCACCAAU
rnacentral:misc_RNA from 1 species